rnacentral:rRNA from 1 species
UACGUAGGGUGCAAGCGUUGUCCGGAAUCAUUGGGCGUAAAGCGCGCGUAGGCGGCCCGGUAAGUCCGUUGUGAAAGUCAAAGGCUCAACCUUUGAACGCCGAUGGAUACUGCCGGGCUAGAGUCCGGAAGAGGCGAGUGGAAUUCCUGGUGUAGCGGUGGAAUGCGCAGAUAUCAGGAGGAACACCAAUAGCGAAGGCAGCUCGCUGGGACGGUACUGACGCUGAGGCGCGAAAGCGUGGGGAGCGAGCAGG